GACGAACGCUGGCGGCGUGCUUAACACAUGCAAGUCGAACGGAAAGGCCCUGCUUUUGUGGGGUGCUCGAGUGGCGAACGGGUGAGUAACACGUGAGUAACCUGCCCUUGACUUUGGGAUAACUUCAGGAAACUGGGGCUAAUACCGGAUAGGAGCUCCUGCUGCAUGGUGGGGGUUGGAAAGUUUCGGCGGUUGGGGAUGGACUCGCGGCUUAUCAGCUUGUUGGUGGGGUAGUGGCUUACCAAGGCUUUGACGGGUAGCCGGCCUGAGAGGGUGACCGGCCCCAUUGGGGGGGGGGUACGCCCCAGACCCCAUGGGGGGGCAGGGGGGGGAAUGUUGCCGAAUGGGGCGGAGCCGGGACGCAAGGACGGCGGUGGGGGGUGGACGGCCUUUGGGUUGUAAUCAGGUUUGCCUGGAGACGAAGGGUUGGGGGCGUGAAUGGGUAAAAAAGCACCGCUGAAUGCGUG
rnacentral:rRNA from 1 species